rnacentral:rRNA from 1 species
AUACGGAGGGCGCGAACGUUGCUCGGAAUCAUUGGGCGUAAAGCGCACGUAGGCGGCCUGAUAAGUCGGAUGUGAAAGCCCUCGGCUCAACCGAGGAAGUGCAUUCGAAACUGUCAGGCUUGAGUAUGGGAGAGGGUUGCGGAAUUCCCGGUGUAGAGGUGAAAUUCGUAGAUAUCGGGAGGAACACCAGUGGCGAAGGCGGCAGCCUGGACCAAUACUGACGCUGAGGUGCGAAAGCGUGGGGAGCAAACAGGAUUAGAUACCCCAGUAGUCC